UGCACGUGUAAUGUGGUCAAAAACAGGGGAUGUGAGUAAUAUGUGUAAUGUGAUGAAUUGAAAAGUGGAGUACACCAUUGAGUCCAAGAAGUCAAAAAGAAAAAGGGAAGAAAAUCGAUCGAUCGAUCGAUCGAUCGAUCGAGAGAGAGAGAGAGAGAGAGAGAUCACUCACCCUGGAAAAGAGUUUGCUGGAGAGUGUGAAGCAAGAUGAGCAACUAAGAAAGCAAAGGAGAAAAAAAGAAAAGAAAGGAGACUCAAGAAUUUGUGAAGAGCUUCAAUCAUUCAACAACUCUAGGUUACGUGCUAUUAUUUGCCUGAUCUGAUCUGCUAGCAGAGCCAUCUGUGAGUAAUAAUUCUGUAAAGUUAUGUUUAACUUUAAUUAUUUUCUGAUGUUAUGAAAUAAUCAGUGUUCUGAAAUACGAUGUUUUGGAUGAAUGAAUGAUUGUCCAAAUUUCUGAAAUAUAUUCGUGGCAUUCUUAGCACAAGGCCCUUGCCCGGGGGUAAUAAUAGCGUGGUCAACAAGUACAAGGCCCUUGCCCGAGAGUAACAAUACCGUGGUCUCAUGGCCCUUGCCCGGGGGUAACAAUACUGUGACUCAAGUAUAUUACAAGUUCCCGGUAUUGGAGGUUCCUUUAUCGAACUAACAAGCAAGAUAAUGCUAAUGGAUGUACCAUGUGAUCAGGUGCGUGACUAGGCCUAGAGCUUCUGCCUGUACUUUGUUUUGUCAACCAACCUAUAUGCCUCCCGUGGAGGUUUCAGAUAUGUCAAGUGAUUAUGGCUAUGUACAUAAAGUUUGAGUUUCGUUUAUUCUGUAUUUAGGGCCAACUCCCUUUCUGUCUAGUCUGUAUAUAUAUGAUGAUGUGUGAAUGUAUGUAUAUAAAGUUUUAAAUUUUUUUUUUGUCUCAUAUAAGUCUGCACAGCUCAAUGGAUGUUGUAUAAUUGCUAUUUGCUUUCGC